CAGCGGAAUCGGGUUUGAACCUAGAACCCUCUGGCCCUCGACCCAGAAACCUUACCACUAGGCCACCGCC